UACGUAGGGUGCGAGCGUUGUCCGGAAUUAUUGGGCGUAAAGAGCUCGUAGGCGGUUUGUCGCGUCUGCCGUGAAAGUCCGGGGCUCAACUCCGGAUCUGCGGUGGGUACGGGCAGACUAGAGUGAUGUAGGGGAGACUGGAAUUCCUGGUGUAGCGGUGAAAUGCGCAGAUAUCAGGAGGAACACCGGUGGCGAAGGCGGUUCUCUGGGCCUGUACUGACGCUGAGGAACGAAAGCGUGGGGAGCGAACAGG
rnacentral:rRNA from 1 species